rnacentral:rRNA from 1 species
GACGAACGCUGGCGGCGUGCUUAACACAUGCAAGUCGAACGGUGAGGCCCUGCUUGCAGGGUACUCGAGUGGCGAACGGGUGAGUAAAACGUGGGUGAUCUGCCCUUCACUUCGGGAUAAGACUGGGAAACUGGGGCUAAUACCGGAGAGGUGCACUGGUUAUUGUGAUGGUUGGAGAGGUUUGUCGGUGUAGGAUGAGUUCGCGGCCUAUCAGCUUGUUGGUGGGGGAAUGGCCUACCAAGGCGGCGGCGGGUAGCCGGGCUGGGAGGCUGGACGGCCAAGUUGGGGCUGAGACACGGCCCAGAGUCCGAAGGGGGGCAGAAGUGGGGAAUAGUGCACAAUGGGCGCAAGGCUGAUGCAGCGGGGCCGCGUGGGGGAUGACGGCCUUCGGGUUGUAAACACCGUUCGCUCGGGACGAAGCUUUUGGUGACGGUAGCUAGAUAAGAAGCACCGGCUAACUACGUG